UGGUAUAUCAGCCAUGCCUGCGAAAAACACUUCCUGCUUCCGAUAUGCUCUUUGCGUUCCAAGCCUCGUUUCAAUAAUUGCAUCUUGAAUUGGAGACGUAGUAGAGGAGGUCGGCUCUUCUCCGCUUUGCUCUUCGGCUGUUCUCGAUUGGGGGAAACAGGAGAUAAGGAUCCCGCAGCUGCUGAAUGCACUAAAAGUGUGACUCCUGCUCAGGACUUCAUCCCAUUAAUGCCUCUAUCAAUCCUUUGUUUUUAAGAUAGCUGGCUAAGGAAGUAUAUGGUCUGGACUAUGGACCCUGCCACCCAGGGGUCGUGUACGUAUUCCAGAGUCCCGUCAGCCAUAGAGACCCCUCCAGUGCACUUUCCCACACCAGGGAGGCCUGCAGGCAGUAGCUUUCAUUUCCUUUGACGACACCAAUUCCCACUCCCCAGAGAUCAAGACCUAGCAGUCCCCCAAAGCAGUCAUUCUCCAAAGGCUGAGGGUUAAAUGUAUUACCGCCAGCCCCCAAUCAUGCCUCUGCUGACCCUCAUCUCUAUUUAUACUCUUUAGGAAGCAUUCUCUCUUUCAACUGCCUCUCUGGUUCUGUACCCUGCCCAGCUCCUUCUGGGCACAGACUUCCACUACUAUUCAUGCUAGUCAAGCAGACUAGCAAGCCCCCUUGAAGGCCCAGUAGUGACUUUCUAUGACAGCCUGUUUGUCAUUUGCCAAAAUCUUUAGAUUGCCAGACUGGGCCUUUAUUGAAGUCCUAUCAGCACUCAGCAGCAUCAUGUAUGGAUAUCCAUGUGUAUCCUGAUGGGCCAGAGACUGCCCUCACCACCUGUAUCCUUCCUGCAUGAUGUCACUUAUGCUCUUGCCAUCCGUAUCCAUUCACAAAUGUCACAAGCCAAAGAUGGCAUAGGCUGAAAACCAUGGAUUAUGUGCCCUACACAGUCCUUCUGUCCUUCGAACUUUGGUACUUCAGCAGGAAACAAACUGUAGAACAGGUCUUCUGCAACUUGGGUUUUAUGUUUUGGCUUCCAUAACGUGGAAAUUCCUCUAGCUUUUGCAGUCUUUUAAGCAGAUCAUUGCCAUUAAUUUAACCUGUGAUUCUUGACUUUCAUGCUUGGCGCCUUCCGGUUUGAUAAGUUGAGGGGUUGGCUUUUGCAGCUAUUUUCUUCAUUUAAUUAAUUUGUCCUAGACAUCCUGUAUUCAUGGUUUUCUUGUUUCAUCUUCCAUUUUCAAGGGCUAUAGGUUAUACCUACCUCCCUAUAUAAUGGCUGUGAUACUGGCCUUGCUAGGUGAUGUUUUUAGCAUCUGUUUGUUUAAUUGUCAAAAAGAGCUUACCAUUAAGGUGCUCUAUCUAUGUUUAACAUUGAUUUUUACAUCUUUUUAUGUUAUUUUAUUCCCCCUGCUUUUGUUUUUUUUCAUGUUUUGACAGAUCCUGUGUGUACUGACAUGGAAGGAACACAGACAAAAACAAGAAGUUCAUUUGCCUCAUAUCAUACAUUCCUUUCCUUCUAGUCCCGACAGUUUUCCCAUCACAAGUUAUUAAUAUUAAUUUCUGUACUGCUAUGGCAAAUGUAUAACAGUGGUAAAAAGGAAGUCAGGUAAUCAUGGCUAAUUCUGAUUGGCUGCUUUACAGGUCCUAUCUCCUUGUCUGGAAGGGGCAAUAAACAUAUGUGUGCAGUCAUGUCGGGAAUAGUGCAGUUAUGAGAUGAGAAUGCUGAAAUUCUCAUCUUUAUGCUUAAAGGAGUUGUUCGCCUUUAAAUGAACUUUUAGUACGAUCUAGAGAGUGAUAUUCUGAGACAAUAUGCGAUUGGUUUUAAUUUUUUAUUAUUUGUAGUUUUUGAGUUAUUUCGUUUUCUAUUCAGCAGCUCUCCAGUUUGCCGUUCCAGCCAUCCGGUUGCUAAGGUCCAAAUUAACCUAGCAACCAUGCAUUGAUUUGAAUAAGAGACUGGAAUAUGUAGACUGAACAGAAGGAUGAAAAUAAAUAGUAACAAUAGCGAUACAUUUGUAGCCUUACAGAGCAUUUGUUUUUUAGAUGGGGGCACUGACCCUCGUUUCGAGAGCUGGAAAGAUUGAGAAGAAAAAGAUAAAUAAUUUCAAAACUAUAAAAAAUAAAUUAUGACAACCAAUUGAAAAGCUGCUUAGAAUUGGCCAUUCUAUAACAUACCUAAUGUUAACUUAAAGGUGAACCACCUCUUAAAGUGACAGCGCCAGUGUCUGCAAUAGGCAAAGUUUUUCCCAUUCCUUAAUUAGCUGCAGGUAGAGGAAGGCAUUUCGGUUUUUCAAUACCUCACGUGUCAUAGGCCUAAGCCAGAACACUGAAUACUAAACCUAUGUAUUGGAGGAUGUGGAAAACUGUGUCAGGAUCCUGGAAAGUAAGUUGGGGUUACAUGUUUUAGCUUCUCGGAGCAGUGUACCCCCUUGUUCAACAUGGGUUCAGUAAAUAGGAACGUAGUUUUUGCCUUUUGUUUUAAUCAUGAAAAUUCUAUGUUUUUUGUUUUUUCUUGAGCAAAACGGAAAUUCAAACUAGCCUAUGGUUGAUCCUUCUUAGGCAGAUAAUUAGAUUCGCCCUCUAUUUGCACUGUUUUGUUAGCAAGGGUCCAUUAUGCAGGGGGGGAUCUCUGCACUGGUUUUCUAACUAUCUGCUUUAUAAGGGCCAACAAACUUCAAUAGACUAACUACAUAUUUGUGGUUUCAAACUUACCUCAAGUGCUCGUUCAGUGUUUGUGGCUGUGUUUCUUUGGUAUAUAAAGUUCCUGUUGACAUUAUGGUAGGCUUCAACAUGUCAAGCAUAUCUUUAAUUACAUGCAUAUCAAAUCUCAUCAGAACUGAAAUGUGUUGUCAGUUCCUUUGUCAAAAUUACUUGAAGUGAUCACUCAAUGUUUGUGGCUGUUGUAUAUAAAGCUCCUGUUGACUUUAUGGUAGGAUUCCACAUGUCAAGGAUUACUUUAAUUACAUUCAUAUCAAAUCUCAUGAACCCAGAAAUGUAUUAUUAGCUCCUUUUGUUUGCUUUUAUUCUGCCUUGUGGAUCUCAGACUCAAGCUAUUUGAUAGAAACAUUGAUAUGUUUUCCUGGUAUGUAAUGUAAAAGAGAUUUUCUGUUAACACUAAGUAGUGUGCCAGAAUUAUAACCAGAGUUUAUCUUCCUAUAUAAAAGCCUGAUUUAUAAUUCUU